AUUUAUUUUGACUGUUGUAUCCCCAGAUUAGUGGACGUUUAGGUUGUUUUCAGCUUUUGACAUUAUAAACAAUGCUACAGUAAACAAUAUUUUAGUUAUAUUUUUGCAUUCUGGAGUCAUUUCUUUAGAAUAUAUUCAUAGAAGUGAAAUUGACAGAUUAAACAAAUAAAACAUUACGUAUUUCCGCAGUUUUCCAGAUAGAUUGUAUCGAUUUAAAGUUGCACCAGCACUGUGUGAGGUUCUUUGUCCAUUUUUUUCUGUUGGUGUAUAUGUUAUUUUCCUAGAUUUAUAAGACUGCUUUUAUACGUCUUUUAACUUUAUUGUGUCUUUUGCAAUUCAGAUUUUAAAUUGUAUGUAAUCAAAAGUGUUGGUCUUUUACUUUUGAGUUCUUUAACUUUACGCUCUUAGGUUCUCUCUCACCCAAUCUCCAUCUGGAGUUUAUUUCUGUGUGUUGUAUAGGCAGGAAAUCGUGGUGUAAUUUUACUUUUCUCAAAAGGAUAACUAGUGAUCCUAGCACCAUUUAUUGAUUUGAAAGAUCUCCUUUAUAAUGAAGUAAGUCUCCCUCCCUAUGUACCUGGAUCUAUUUUGACUCAUUUAUCGAUGUGUUUAUUCUUAUUCCAGGACUAGAAUUUUUUUUUUUUUAAA